rnacentral:ncRNA from 1 species
UUCUGUACAACUGGCGGAAGAAUACGCUUUGCGUGUUGUGGGAUUACCCACAGGGAGUACAGAUUAUUGUAGUAUAAGCCGACCGCCUGGGCGACCA